rnacentral:lncRNA from 1 species
UCGUUUGCACAAAUAGCAUAUGUAAGGUAUCAGGCUCAAUGAACUAGAGGAUUCAGAUUCUCCUGAAAGAUUUGUGAAAACCAUUAUGCAUGACAUGGUCUACGUGAUAAACAUGAGAGGAGAUCACGGAAACUUACAAGUCGAACUGAGGAUAACUUCCAGUCUCAUCUGAAAUCAACAAUCGAGCACCCAUGACAGACAAAUGAGUCACGUAGAGAAGCCAUAAGCAAGCAUGACAUCUAUACUAAAGACAAUCUCAAGGUGAUGGGAGUUAGGGUUGCAGAUGAUCGAUGGACUCUGGCAACGAAUCGAGAGAAAUCUUGUACCUGCCACCGGGAUAAAAGCAUAUUGCUCGGGCUGUGAGUUAUUCCAGACCACAAGAGGGUUGUACACCCUCAGAAGCGCUUCACUUGUGUUGAAAUUCGAAGCAAGGCCGCUCACAUUUCCAGCAGUACAAGCCGCCACCACAUAAGUUAGGAAAAGGCCGUAACCAAGGCUCACUCUCGGGUCUCCACAGAAGCACUGAACAGGAAUUUUCAUGCUAGUUCCGGUUUCAAUGAAAUUGAGGUUAGGUAUUCCAUU